GCUGUGUGUGUGUGUGUGUGUUUGGUGAUGAAUAGUAAUGAAUAAUACAAAGAGUGCUUGAUCGAGCCGUGUACUUCAUUAGGUUAAGGCACAGAUCAGGACGGUAUCGCCCAGCAGACGGUGUUACUGAUAGCUGAGAGACAGACAGACAGACAGACAGACGGGAGGGAGGGAGAGCGAGACAGAGAGAGAGAGAGAGAGAGAGAGAGACUGGACAUAGUUAGAGAUCAAACAGGGAGAGACACACACCAAAGUGCGGUGUGAAAGUCUGAGAAAGAGGUCACUAAGAAAAGUUAGAGGUAGAGAAACAGAGAGAGAAAGAGAGUCUCUUGCUCAUCAUGUAUAUUCCGUCUCUUCUGCGUAAGUCUGGCCGUAACAGAUGUGUACAACGGGAGAGAGCAGACACAUGACGACAAAAAUAUCAGACCCAAAAUCACCCCGAUUAUGUCGCUGCUCAGUAGAGAUCAGCUGGUUGAGACGAGAUAUUGAUGUCCCGCCCCUUCCGCUUACCCAAACACACAUUUAGCUUCCUGCUAAAAGGUCAAAGGUCCCUCAGGCGGUUCAGUCCACAGCAGAACAGAUUCUUCAGACACUUACGGUUAUGUAAUGUUCACUGACUCUAGCGUUAAUGUGCGUUACGUUUCCUCUCAGCGUUCCUCCUCUAUACUCUGAUAAUCCUGUGCACACAGCGCUGCAGGAGCCUCAUUUGUCUACAGAGCUGUCAAUCAUGGUGUGACUUCCAUUUUUAUAGCAUCAAAUACCAAAUAAAUGAACACUGGGACAGAAAUCAGCAUGUAUACAGCAUGUGUAUAUGAGACCAGAGUCCAGGGUUAAGAGCAGACCUGAUUCAGGACCAGACUGUAGCAGUGAGGUCCUGAUGUGCAGUCGGACGCUCUCCUGUUCCUGUCUCUGCAGCCCGGGCCGUUGGACUGUAAAGUGCUGUCUCAGCUGGCAGCAUGCAGCACGCCUCCAUUCCAAAACCCUCACGGGACGUUUUCUCUUCAUGCUCUUUCAGGUUACAGCCGCUCAAACUGGCAGCGCUGCGCCAACCUUACAUAACUAUGCUCUUCAUUACAAACACUAUAAAUUAUACAAACAUGUUUUCCAUCAUGCGCACUUUGUGCUAAAUGACAUAACGUCCCAGGUGAGAGACAACAACUCAAAAUAGUCUUUUAAAAUGAACUCUCUGUUGUUAGUAACGAGGUGUGUGUGUGUGGGGGGGGGGGGUGAAGUUUUCCAUGAUGAUGAUGUUUGAACGAGACAUUGAACUACAGAACAUCUUCAGGCUACAAAAUAAAGUGUAUUAACCUGCCAACACGGCAGAGGUCCAAGUGUUUCCUCUGUGGACGUGACGCUCUGCUCCUCCUCUGCAGCUGCUCAUUCGGCUGCUUCCUUCUGUUGCAUUUAAACAGCUUUAAGACUUUUCACAAGAAAAAAAAUGACAAGUUAUUAAAGCACAAACAAACUAGCCUAGCAUGACCAAAUCUAUCUUUGGCGUCACGUUAAGCUAACUUCACGUCACUGCACCUUUGCUAAUAUUGAAUGUGUAAUCUCUGCGAUGGUUUCAGUGGUUCAGGUCUGAAUCAUCAGGUACAAAAGUAGACAUUUUUAA